rnacentral:rRNA from 1 species
AAGGAAGCACACUUCGGUCAUAGAUUAAGCCAUGCAAGUGCCAGUUCAGGGAACGAAACUGCGAAUAGCUCAUUAACACGCUCAGAAUCUAUUUGGCAGCAACCUUCAGGUUUAAGAUGGAUAGCAGCAGUAAUUCUGGUGCUAAUACAUGCAAUUGUUUCAUCGGAAGUGAAUUACGAUGAAAAAGUUGACCUCAAAGGGUAAGCCAUUCGAUUGAGCGACCUAUCAUGUUUAUUCCUAGGGUCUUGACCUAGAGAGGCGAUAACGGGUAACGGGCGGUUACCGUCGGACUGCCGGAGAGGGCGCCUGAGAGAUAGCGACUAUAUCUACGGGUAGCAGCAGGCGCGAAACUUACCCACUCGAGACUUUCGGAGGUGGUAAUGACCAGUUUCAAGUUAGCUCCUUACGGGGUUGCUUGAAUAGGACUACACCUCUCCAGUGUAGUGUAAUCUAGCAGAGGGCCAGUCUGGUGCCAGCAGCUGCGGUAAUUCCAGCUCUGCGAGUUUGCUCCCAUAUUGUUGCAGUUAAAACGCCCGGAGUCUGAGUCACAAUUGUAAUGACGGCUAACCCCCGUGUUCACUGCGAACAAAUCAGGACGCUUAGUGUAAGGUUACUUGAAUGACUCAGCGCAGUAUGAAAUAAUUGCCAUGGAGUAGGCAAAAUCAAUGAGAGCCAUCGGGGGUAGAUCUAUUUCAUGGCGAGCGGUGGAAUGCUAUAACCCAUGAGAGAGAAACGAAGGCGAAGGCAUCUACCUAGCGGGUUUCUGUCGAUCCAGGGCGAGAGUAGGGAUAUCCAACCGGAUUAGAGACCCGGGUAGUCCGUACCGUAAACGAUGCCGACAGGGCCUUAUCCUCUACUGAGGGUAGGGUCCGAUGAGAAAUCAUAGUUCUUGGGCUCUGGGGGAACUACGACUGCAAGGUUGAAACUUGAAGGAAUUGACGGAAGGGCACACCAGGGUGGAGCUUGUGGCUUAAUUUGAAUCAACACGGGGAAACUUACCAGGACCAGAUGUCUUAUGUGACUGACAGGCUAACGGUCUUUCAGGAUUUGACUUUUGGUGGUGCAUGGCCGUUGGUGGUGCGUGGGUUGACCUGUCUAGCGUUGAUUCAGAUAACGAGCGAGAUUAUCGCCAAUUGAUAGUUUGCAUUGGUGCGCCAAUGCAAGGUUUCCAAUUGGGACUCCCUGCGUCUAAGCAGGAGGAAGAGGGUAGCAAUAACAGGUCCGUGAUGUCCUUUAGAUGCCCUGGGCUGCACGCGCGCUACAAUGUGAGGAUCAAUGAGAUACGAGCCUCGAAAGGGUAAGUCACUCUCACAAUACCUCACGUACCUGGGAUUGGCGGUUGUAACUACCGACAUGAACCAGGAAUCCCUUGUAAGCGUAUGUCAACAACUUACGUUGAAUACGUCCCUGCCCUUU